CUCUCCCAUGUACAUCAAAACUUUUUAAACCUUAAAUAACUUUUUUGGCAUAUUUUCUCCAGUGACCAAAUUUCUUCAUUUGCCUGUUACCUCUCUCGUUUUCCAGUCUACCCUUAUCCUAAGCCAAACACAUAUCAGUACCUUCUUUGCAUCAACACAUUUCUAUUUAUUCUACAAUCACUUAACUUGAAAUGAAUUUAUUUUUAUUGUCUGUGCGUAUGUGAUGUUUGUGUGGUCCUAAAUCCUUUAUUUUUGAAUUUUAAAAUCAAGGCCAAUUCUGAGACAAAAUACACUAUUUUUUUUGAAUGAACUACCAAAAAUAUGAAAAAACAUAUUUGGUGAAAAUAAAAGUGUUCCACUGAACAGAUACAGUGAAAAUGCAUGAGCUUCUGUGUGUAGAAAAUAGAUGUGCGUGUCACUGCUAGAGGUGCCCUGGGAAUGAAGUUGAGUGAUCUUUACCUCUGUUUUGGCUUCAAUGUCUACGUUGUGCUCAAGGAGCAUUUUUACAAUCCUUAUGUUACCCCUGGAUAUAGCAUGGUGGAAGGCUGUGUUCCCACUGGAAUCUAUCAGAUUUGGAUCCGCAUUGUGGGUGAGCAAUACGGAAGCACAAUCCACAUUGUCUCGUUGGGUGGCCUGUAAAAUUGUACAAAGAAAUACAUCUUAAAUUCAAGGAAGUCAAGAGAGAUGUUUUCUACCAUUGCACUGAAUAGUUUCCCUAAAAUAAAACAUAGAGUUCCACUUCUGCAUAUUAUCACUCUCUUUAGACACAAGGUCUUUCAAGAACCCCCAGGCUUGCUUGCCUAACUUUAUAAUCUCCCCACCACAUCUCUUUCCCAGUGGUAGAGUUUAAGGAUUCUGCCAACACACCUAGAUAUUCUAAGAAUUCAGGCUCUGUGCUGGUUCGUUGUUGCAGUGCAGAGAUUAGUUGUUUGGUUAGGUUUUUUGUUUGUAGGUUGGUUUUGUUUGUUUGUUUGUUUGUUUUUCUUUUUGCCAGUGUAACACAGGCUUAACACACCUACAAAGAUUCUCACUUGAGGAAAUGCCUCUAUCAGACUGGCCUCUGGGUAACUAUGUGGACUUUUUUUUUUUUUAAUUUUAAAUUGAGAUAGAAGUAGGAAAGUCUAGGUUUUAGGAGUUGGGGCAUGCCUGGGACAAAGUCCUCAAUUUUGUUAAAAAACAAAAACAACAACAACAACAAAAAGUAAACACCUGAGCAAGGCUUGGUAGAAGCCAUGG
rnacentral:lncRNA from 1 species